rnacentral:tmRNA from 1 species
GGGGAUGCCAGGCUUCGACUUUGUGAUUACUCAUGUCGGCCGUUUCUGUUCGGGAUUGCAAUGGUUCCCGUUACCCACAUAUUGCACCCUAUAAAUGCCAAAAAUGGUAUUUUCGCAAAAGCUUGCGAUUUUGUUGAAGGACUUCGGUUCCCAACACUCGCGUUCGCUUAUGCUUAAGUUCUGCAUCACGCGGAACACGUUUCUCCUUUGAUUCCUGCUAUUAGGAAGAGGCGUCAUCAGCAGGACGGAUAUUUGAUUGACGCGUCAAAUUUUCCGUAAUCCAGCGUCAACCCUCCCUUUCUUUUCUUGUCCAUUCCUUAGGAUCCGGGAGUAUUAGAAUGGUCAUGGCAGUAUGAACACUUCAUGAACACUUAGCACUCGGGUUCAAUUCCCGACAUCUCCACCA